rnacentral:lncRNA from 1 species
CCGGAUUCAGAGAGUUCACAGCGUUCCCGAUCGGGCGUUCAACAAAAUCAGCAUUAAUUUGAGGCUUCGGCGGUGCUGAAAAUACACGGCCACUACGGGUCAAACCGCUAACAUUGGCAAUAUUCACAACAGAAGAAGAGGGCAAGGAUACCUCUUUCCCAUUCUCUACUGCUACGGCGUUGUAGCGAUAGGGAACUGCCUUUUCA